ensembl:lncRNA
ACAGAGAGACAGUUCAUAAUGGAUAUAAGGAAGUUUUUUCAAAAAAAGGAGCCACAUUCAGUCCAAAGAGGGAGAGAGGAAAGAGGGAACAUGAGGAGAAACAAGGUCAGGAAGAACCAGCUCCUCGUUUAGAUCUCCGUGGACCUGCACCUAGUGAUGAUGAGAUGAAGCCUCGUGAUGAAUUGAAGCUUUCCAUCCAACUGGUCGACUCAUGGUUCGAAGCAUUCUGAUGAGUCAUUUGCUCUACUGCGCCACCAAGUGGACAAGUCAAGUGAAACAGGCUCAGUGAUUAUAAUGAUGUGAUGUGUAAACCUCUAAACUGAAUAAAUAAAUUGUUUUCAUGGUUAUUUAUCACGAAUAUUGUCUCAGUAUGUCUGAUACAAAACAGAAAGUGGAAACUAUCAGGACAGAGUUUUGGUAUGAUUGUGUAACUGUGUAAUCAUGUUUAUGUACAUC